AAAAAAUAUAUGGUAAUAUUUUUUAACUAUUGGUAAGCGUACAACGAACACAAAUAUGCUUAUAAUUGGAAAUUGGUUUUUGUCAUCGUAUUAUGUGUUUCAUUGUUCUCCAAAAAAUAUAAAUUCUCUCUCAAUUUUCGUCAAAAUUAUAGAAAAAAAAAAUAAUUCAGUAGAUUAUUUUUUACCGCAAAAUUGUCUUCCACGACGUUGGAAUCGAAUGUUACUUGAGCGGGGGAGUCACGAACUAUAUAUAACGAAAAUCAUACAACAUAAAAGAGUUAUUAAAAGUUAAAAACACACUCUUAGAUUAAUUUUACUCAUAUCGCCUGCUGAAUUGUAAGCGCCACUAAUACGAAUGUACACUAUUGGCCUGGGUUUAAACUGCAGCAAAUGCCAAGAUUGUGUUAGCUCUUUAGAUUUAUCUAUAAUCAUGUCCCAAUCCUGAUUACUGAAAGAACCUUCAAUAGUGUAACUGUAGGCUUGGUCAUCGCCACCCCAAAGCAGCAUCCUGUAAAUUAUGAAUAAUAUAUAAAUAUAAAAUAUAUGAUAUGUAUAUAAUAUAUAAUAAUAGUAUAAUGAUUGAAGCCUAUAUCGCUUUUAAUAAUAUCCUAUUAACACUAUUAUUAUAAUUUCUUUAAAACUCAUUCAAACGACCGAAAAUAAUUUUAAAAAAUAAUUCACCAAAUAAUGCUCAUUGCUAUAAAAGUUACAACUUACAAGAUAUUUGUACUAUUACCUUAUUGAACUAAUUAUGUAUGGUUGUGCAAGAUGAACCACCAUAAAACCUGAUCGCAGAAGAUGAUAUGUACAAAUAUUUAACUAUCAUUGUCUUCUUUAUUUUAAAUGUUAUUUAAUAGCGACUGUCUCAUUGAAUCAUUUUCUCGUUUGUUUACAAAUGCAUUCAUAUAUCUUAGCAGUACUUUUGGUUCCAACAAUGUUUAUAUACUAGACUACACGUAGAUGAAUCCACAAAUGUUGAGCUGAUCGACAAUUAUAAUUUUAAUGAUCUAUAACACGAAUCCAAUCGCACUGAUCCGUUGAAACUUCAGAGUAAUACCUAAAAUAUCGAAUAAAUACAAUUAACUUGAAGAGUAGUGAUUUGAGAAAAAGUAUAGAAAAUUAAAUAUAAGGAACAGAGUUGUCCAGCAUACUGUCAAAUGAAUACAAGAUAUAAACAACUUAGACUUAAUAAACAAUAAGAAUAGUUAAUAAUUAUUCAAACAUUGAUCAUUUGUUUCAUUAACUUAUAACCAAAUUUGAAACCAAUACAUUUUGUGAAUUACAUAUAAUAUAAAUAUUAUAUGUAUAAUAUAAAGCAGGCAUUCUUAACUGGCUUCGAGUUUUAAACUCAUCUAUUAACCACGUGUUUUUAAAUUGUAAACCGUCUGAUCUUUUAACAAUGGUGAGUGUCUUGAACCUGAACCAGUUCAUUAAUACUCUGACGGUAGAUAAAACUUUUAUUAUAUUAAUAUCAGCAUCAAUAUACCUAAUUUGUUAGCACAAAACGAGUCAAUACUGAGAAUUUCCUGAAGAGCUUCCUUAAUAAUAAUAUUUUUCUCAUUUUUUUACCUGACACAGACAGAAAAUCUUCAGAUUGCAUUACGCCCAAAGAGUGGUUUUCGAUAAAGUUGAGUGGUUCUACUUCGAGAUCCUGGUAUUGAUAAUGUCGUGUCAUAUAGCUUGGGAACGAAAAUGCAUUUUGUACAUUAACGUUACUUUUUAAAUACUCGGACAGUAAUACCAUAGAAAUCCAAAACCCCUGUAACUUAAGAAAUGUGAAACAACAAAAAAUAUUAAUAAUCUUUUCUCAUUAACCGGUUUUUGAUUUAACAGAUCAAACACAAACUGUCGGCCAAACGAUUAUAUUAUGUAUGCCGUUUAAUAAUCGCAAAGCUACGUCGAUUAUUCGUUACCUCUAGAACACUUAAAUUCGUUUGACCGGAAUAAAUAUACUCAAGAAGUAUUUUAAAUAAGGUUAUUGAUGCCUUACGUACAUUGACCUCCGAAAAAUUGGAUUCUUUAAGACCUCCAUAAAAUAAGACCCUAAAAAUACUAUACAAUAUUAUGACAAACAACAUAUUAUAUUAUGUUCUAUAAAGCACAGUCUAAUUAAACUGGCUUCAAAAAUGAGAUUAUAAAUCUAAAACUUUACAAAAAUUCUCGUUUGGAAUUGGUAAAAUGCAUAAACCUGAAAAUAUAAUAACAAGAAAACCAAAUAAAAUAGAAGUAUUUUUUUAGGUCACAACGAUCCAGAAAGUCCAAUGAAAAUUCUACGGAAUGUGGCCGAAAAUCCGGUUCGACGUGGAAUGCCUCAAUUAAUAAUUGUCUUGUUGUAUGGAAAUAUUAAUGAAUCCGAUAAGCCUGAGGUGAAUAUUAAAGAAGCAUCAAUAACCUUCUUUAAAAUACUUCUUGUGUGUAUUUAUACCAGUCAGAUGAACUUCAGGAUUCUAAAGGUUAAAGUUAUUUGGGAAUUAUUUAGUAUUUCUGAUUGGUAUGGUUAUUAAUGUACACAAUGCUUGUUCCUUGUUUGCUGGGGCACGACUUAAUCAAUAUAAGAAGCUCGAAGUCGAAUCACUAAACUUAAUCGAAAACAACGCUUUGGCCGUAUUGCAAUUUGAAGAUCUUCUGUCUUUUUUAUUGUUAAUAAUGAUUGUUAUCUGUGCUAUCUGUGGUUAGAGAAUCACAACUGGUUAGUAGUUCAGAUACAAUCUUAGAUGCCACACAAUUUAGAAACACGUGGCUACCAGAUAAGAUUAAAUUUAAACUAAAACCCAAUGUGACUAUCUUUUUCAUCAUUCCAUCAGCCAUAAACUAUAUUAGAAUUAGUACACAUAAUGAGUAUUUAGCCCUUAACUGGACGCUGUAUUUUUCUGGACACAUAACAAUGCUGCUUUGGGGCGGUGAUGACCAAGUCUACCGUUAUACUAUUGAAGAUUCUGUAAAUAAUCGGAUUUGGGAUAUGAUCGUAGACAAAUCCAACGGGUCAACACGAUCUUGGCAUGUGUUACAAUUUAAACCUAGGCCAAUAGUGUUUAUUCGUACUACUGGUGUUUACUAUUCAGCAGGUGAUGUGAGUAAAAUUAAUCUAAGA